rnacentral:rRNA from 1 species
AUAUGUAAAUAUUGUUGGGUAGGGGAGCGUUCUGUAAGCCUGUGAAGGUGUACUGUGAGGUAUGCUGGAGGUAUCAGAAGUGCGAAUGCUGACAUAAGUAACGAUAAUGCGGGUGAAAAACCCGCACGCCGGAAGACCAAGGGUUCCUGUCCAACGUUAAUCGGGGCAGGGUGAGUCGACCCCUAAGGCGAGGCAGAAAUGCGUAGUCGAUGGGAAACGGGUUAAUAUUCCCGUACUGGUGAUAAUUGCGAUGGGGGGACGGAGAAGGCUAGGCUAUCCGGGCGACGGUUGUCCCGGUUUAAGGAUGUAGGCAGGUGAAUUAGGCAAAUCCGGUUCACUACAUGCUGAGGUCCGACGACGAGUCACUACGGUGAUGAAGUAGCUCAUGCCCCGCUUCCAGGAAAAGCCUCUAAGCUCUAGAUUAUCAUUAAUCGUACCCCAAACCGACACAGGUGGUCAGGUAGAGAAUACUCAGGCGCUUGAGAGAACUCGGGUGAAGGAACUAGGCAAAAUGGUGCCGUAACUUCGGGAGAAGGCACGCUGGCGCUAGGUGAAGUCCCUCGCGGAUGGAGCUGAAGCCAGUCGCAGAUACCAGCUGGCUGCAACUGUUUAUUAAAAACACAGCACUGUGCAAACACGAAAGUGGACGUAUACGGUGUGACGCCUGCCCGGUGCUGGAAGGUUAAUUGAUGGGGUUAUCCGUAAGGAGAAGCUCUUGAUCGAAGCCCCAGUAAACGGCGGCCGUAACUAUAACGGUCCUAAGGUAGCGAAAUUCCUUGUCGGGUAAGUUCCGACCUGCACGAAUGGCGUAAUGAUGGCCAGGCUGUCUCCACCCGAGACUCAGUGAAAUUGAACUCGCUGUGAAGAUGCAGUGUACCCGCGGCAAGACGGAAAGACCCCGUGAACCUUUACUAUAGCUUGACACUGAACAUUGAGCCUUGAUGUGUAGGAUAGGUGGGAGGCUU